UUCGUUUAUCUUUUUCUGUGAUGACGCAGAGAGUUGGCAAGAAAGAGAAAGAGAGAGGUCAUCGGAGCACUUCCAUUUUGGCGAACAAAGUGGAGGAUCUGCCGACUCUGAGGACAAAUAGUUUUCUCGCCCACUCGUGGCGAACACGUAGGCAGCUCGGCGUUGUCGUCGACGCUAGUUCAAGGUUCCUAUCACAGACGGAAGUCUGGCCAGCUGUCUCUCUCUCUCUCUCUCUCUCUCUUUCUCUGUCUCUUUCUUUCUUUCUGUCUCUAGUGUGUCUCGAAUAUCAUUAGCCGAGCACGAAGGCCAGGAAGAAGGGUGGAAGGGGAGGUGUUGGAGGUGGUGCGUUGGAAAUGAAGGAGAGGAGAGGAGAACCGACGGUGGCUCCUCAAACUACUCUUCUCACUCUGUACUCGCGCACUCGUCGACUCGUUGGGACAUAAAGAGACGCCUUGUCCGUGUUUCGGCGGGCGCGAUAGCGCGUUAGACGACGUCUGCACGGUAACAUAGCAGGUAACAGACGGUGGAAGGACAUUCUUCGUCUAGGACUAGACACCGUUAGAUCUUCCAGACGGUUGGAACGUCGGAAAGAGAGAGGGAAAAAGAGAAAGACAGAGAGAAAGAAAGAGAGAAAGCGAGAAAGAAUAGACGGCCUUGGUUGCUCGAUCGAAGAAGACUAACUUUAUCUGUCGAUUUUUAUCAACAAACAUUUUAUUUAUUACCCGUAAAAUAAAUUUAAAGUUACGUUUGUC